rnacentral:rRNA from 1 species
UGGGGAAUUUUGGACAAUGGGCGAAAGCCUGAUCCAGCAAUGCCGCGUGUGUGAAGAAGGCCUUCGGGUUGUAAAGCACUUUUGUCCGGAAAGAAAUCCUUGGCUCUAAUACAGUCGGGGGAUGACGGUACCGGAAGAAUAAGCACCGGCUAACUACGUGCCAGCAGCCGCGGUAAUACGUAGGGUGCAAGCGUUAAUCGGAAUUACUGGGCGUAAAGCGUGCGCAGGCGGUUUGCUAAGACCGAUGUGAAAUCCCCGGGCUCAACCUGGGAACUGCAUUGGUGACUGGCAGGCUAGAGUAUGGCAGAGGGGGGUAGAAUUCCACGUGUAGCAGUGAAAUGCGUAGAGAUGUGGAGGAAUACCGAUGGCGAAGGCAGCCCCCUGGGCCAAUACUGACGCUCAUGCACGAAAGCGUGGGGAGCAAACAGGAUUAGAUACCCUGGUAGUCCACGCCCUAAACGAUGUCAACUAGUUGUUGGGGAUUCAUUUCCUUAGUACGUAGCUAACGCGUGAAGUUGACCGCCU